UACGGAGGGUGCAAGCGUUAAUCGGAAUUACUGGGCGUAAAGCGUGCGUAGGUGGUUCGUUAAGUCCGUUGUGAAAGCCCCGAGCUCAACUUGGGAAUUGCAGUGGAUACUGGCGAGCUAGAGUGCGGUAGAGGAAGGUGGAAUUCCCGGUGUAGCGGUGAAAUGCGUAGAGAUCGGGAGGAACACCAGUGGCGAAGGCGGCCUUCUGGACCAGCACUGACACUCAGGCACGAAAGCGUGGGGAGCAAACAGG
rnacentral:rRNA from 1 species